rnacentral:misc_RNA from 1 species
AAGUCGUAACAAGGUUUCCGUAGGUGAACCUGCGGAAGGAUCAUUAACACGUAUCCAACGUUAAACAACCCUGUGAACUUUCACACGCUCUUGUAGCCCAGGAGGAACAGCAAUCCCGGUAAAUCAAUGGCGGAAAAGUUUUGAUUCGGGACCUCUGUCCAAAAGGUAUCAAGUUACAAUCGAGCAGUGCAGAAGGAUCCACUGAGUAAGGAUAACGCAUCACGGUUGCCAGAGGUCGAUCACCGGCCGGCAGACAUGUCACAGGGCUUUACGCCCCUUCAUUCACCCCUUGCCUAAUCAAGCCCCGCGGAAACGCCGGGCAAAAAAAUCUGAACAACUGUUAACAAUGGAUAUCUUGGUUCUC